rnacentral:rRNA from 1 species
CCUACGGGUGUCAGCAGUGAGGAAUAUUGGUCAAUGGGCGUAAGCCUGAACCAGCAAAGUCGCGUGAGGGAUGAAGGUUCUAUGGAUCGUAAACCUCUUUUAUAAGGGAAUACAGUGCGGGAUGUGUCCCGUUCUGUAUGUACCUUAUGAAUAAGGAUCGGCUAACUCCGUGCCAGCAGCCGCGGCAAUACGGAGGAUCCGAGCGUUUUCCGGAUUUAUUGGGUUUAAAGGCUGCGUAGGCUGCCCUGUAAGUCAGCGGUGAAAGUCUGUGGCUCAACCAUAGAAUUGCCGUUGAAACUGGGAGGCUUGAGUAUGUUUGAGGCAGACGGAAUGCGUGGUGUAGCGGUGAAAUGCUUAGAUAUAACGCAGAACACCAGUGGCGAAGGCAGCCUGC